UGUCCGUGUCGGCCACUUUCUGCCCCGCGAUGCCAUCUCGGUUCGCUCUCCACACACCGUCUUCGCCGUGAAACUCCUCCCGCUUCCAAACCUCGACUUUAGCUUUGCACUCUUCC